UACAGGGGGUGCAAACGUUGCUCGGAAUUAUUGGGCGUAAAGCGCACGUAGGCGGUUCGUUAUGUCAGAUGUGAAAGCCCUUGGCUCAACUGAGGAAGUGCAUCCGAAACUGGCAGGCUAGAGUACUAAAGAGGGUCGCGGAAUUCCCGGUGUAGAGGUGAAAUUCGUAGAUAUCGGGAGGAACACCGGUGGCGAAGGCGGCUUGCCAGAACGCGCUCGACGGUGAGGGAUGAAAGCUGGGGGAGCAAACCGG
rnacentral:rRNA from 1 species